rnacentral:sRNA from 1 species
GCGCUCUACCACUGAGCUAAAUUCACAACCCCAGCAACUUCUUGUUAUCCAAUUUUCUGUUGAGACUGAAAAUGGAAUUUGUUCUGAGUCUGUCCUUUGAGAAAUGAACUGAGUCCAGCACAGUUCUGAGUGGGCCCUGGGGCUUGUCACUAUCAGCAAAAAAUGCAGCUCAACUGCCAGCCAUGACACCUGAGGGGUCCCGGUAGAACCUUGCGUGGCCUCCGCGCAGGUGCGCUUUAGUCCUUUGUAUCUUUCACAGAAAAGAAUUCAGAAUGACUGGCUGAAGCAAAGUUAGUGAAUCUACUGGCCGAAUAGGAAGAUGUGGCAGUUUAUUGAUGUUAAAAAAGUCACAAACACAGAGGGAUACAUUUGGAAACAGUAAGGUAUGGCCUUUAGAAGAAUAGAACUAGAUAUCUUAGAGGUAACUCUGUAUAUUCGAUCCAGGGGCUUUUAAGCUAUUCAUUUGCAAGUGAGUUUAGAUAUAAAGAAAAUUAUGUAUUAGCAAACUUUUUUGGCGUAUGCGUAAUACAUCUUUUUCUGACCCGCAGAAUUGUGUCCCUAAAGAGACCUUUUGAGGUACCUCGUGCAGCUAGAGAAAAGCUAGUAGAGACGGAAUACACAUCGAAGGAUGUCGGUGUCAACUGCAGCUGUUCACAGAGGCAUGAAGAGAUCAGUGGAUCCUCCGAAGCUCAAUUUACAAGUGGUUGGAGAGAGGAUUGGAUCUGGAAAUUCAGUUCUUUUUCAUGUAGAAAUUCAACUUUUCCAGCACCAUUUGCUUGUUCCACAAUGUACAUUUUUGACUGCUUCAUUUAAAAAAAAAUGGGGGACUGGGCUAGGCACCAUAGUGUACCCUUUUUAAUACCAGCACUUGGGAAUCAGGAGCAAAUAGAUCUCUGGAUUUGAAGCCAUCAUGGUCAACAUAGUGAGCUUCAGACUAUCCAAAGCUAUAUGCAGAGAUCCUGUCUCAAAAAAAAGAAGAAAUAAACCAAACCAAACAAACAAAAGAAUUGACUGUAACUGUGUGUGUCAUCUCUGGUCCUAUAUGCUAUUUUUUGAUUUACAAGUCUGUUUUGUAAUAGUACUAUGCUAUCUUUGUUAGUAUGACUCUGUGUUAUAACCAGAGAUUGGGUAUUGUGAUAUCUGUAAUGUUAGUGUUUUUACUGAGGAUAUUGUAGAGGGGUGUG